AUACUUACCUAGUAGGAGAGAUACCAUGAUCCAAAGGGGGUUUUUCCAGGGCGAGGCUUAUCCACUGCACUAUGGGGUGCUGACCCCUGUGAUUUCCCCAGAUGUGGGAAACUUGACUACAUACUUUGUAACAGUGGGGACUGCAUUCAUGCUCUCCCCUA